rnacentral:rRNA from 1 species
CGCGGCCUAUCAGCUUGUUGGUGAGGUAAAGGCUCACCAAGGCAUUGACGGGUAGCUGGUCUGAGAGGACGAUCAGCCACACUGGGACUGAGACACAGCCCAGACUCCUGCGGGAGACAGCAGUGGGGAAUCUUGCGCAAUGGGCGAAAGCCUGACGCAGCAACGCCGCGUGGGGGAUGAAGGCUCUCGGGUUGUAAACCCCUUUCAGCAGGGACGAAAUUGACGGUACCUGUAGAAGAAGCCCCGGCCAACUACGUGCCAGCAGCCGCGGUAACACGUAGGGGGCGAGCGUUGUCCGGAAUUAUUGGGCGUAAAGGGCUCGUAGGCGGUUCGGUAAGUCAGAUGUGAAAGGUUGGGGCUCAACCCUAAGACUGCAUUUGAUACUGCCGUGACUAGAGUCCGGUAGAGGAGUGUGGAAUUCCUGGUGUAGCGGUGAGAUGCGCAGAUAUCAGGAGGAACACCGACGGCGAAGGCAGCACUCUGGGCCGGUACUGACGCUGAGGAGCGAAAGCGUGGGUAGCAAACAGGAUUAGAUACCCUGGUAGUCCACGCCGUAAACGUUGGGCACUAGGUGUGGGACCUUAUCAACGGGUUCCGUGCCGUAGCUAACGCAUUAAGUGCCCCGCCUGGGGAGUACGG